CUCUUCUGAAAAAAAAAUCCACAUAUUCUCUGAAACUACAAGUCCAAUCGACCUGAAAAUUUGCAGUCAGCAGGGCAUACAUGUACUGAAGGUUCAUAAAAAAACUUUUUGCAGAUAUCUCUCAAGACUUUUCCUAGAAAAAAGAAAUGGCAAUGCCGUAAAAAUCGCUUGCUAGGUCCGUAAAUCUCAGUAAAAACCUACAAUAAAAUGUCCGCUCUGAGAUUGAAAUACUAAUCUGUGUUUACAAACAGGUGCUGAAAAAUGGACAUUAUCAAAAAAUAAUCAUUAAAUGUGUUUUAAAGUUACACCGGAUCGAUUAAAUCCAAAACAUGCACUGCUGAUGAACUGUGAUCAAAAUGUCAAUUUCCUACAAUGACAAAAGAAAUUACAUUGUGUACAUUCCAUCUCUAGACUUGUUGUCUGUUCAAGGUCCCGACCUAAAAAGAAAUUAAAAGACUAAGUUUUUCUUAAUAUAAACCCGCGUCACGUGAUGUCUCCUCAAUCUUGCGCGCGCGCUGUAUCUAAAAUAAAAGAAAAACUUUCCAAACUAAACAUGACACUUCUCCGGUAACAUAAUAAUAUAGACCCCAUACCAAAGCAAACAAACAAACAAAUAAACAAAUACCCCCCCCCCCCUUUUCCAAAUCAAUCAAUAAAAAAAAAAUCAAUUAUCCAUUCAUCAGAGGGGAAAGACUGCCUAACAAUUGUUUUCAAAACAAUUGCUUUAUAUUUAUUAUUAGGUCUUUCCACCUUUCGUGUGGAAAGACCUAUUGAUUUUGUUCUGAUUAUUUUUUUUUUUCUUCCGCCUAAUUUUUUUCUUGCGGUGUAAAAAUGUUUCACUAGAUGUCGCUUAGUUUUUUUGUAUAUGAGAUCAUACAGUCUAU
rnacentral:lncRNA from 1 species